GGUAGAGGCAAGAGGAUCGCUUGAGCCCCGGAGUCCAAGACCAGCGCGGCCAACAUAGCGAGACCCCAUCUCUACAAAAAAAUUAAAAGUGUGCCUUUACCUCCUCCCAUGUGAAGAGCAGGUAAGGGGUAGACUUUUGGCCCCGUUUUAUAGAGAGAAACUGAGGCUCACAAGGAAAAACAAUCUGUGGACAGGGAUACACCAGGAAGUUCCAAGCUGAGGGUAAAUUACCCUAGAGAUCUGCAAAAGUUCAACUGAUGGCUGCCAUGGAGGAAGUGGGUCCAGAUGGGGAACAGGGCCAUCUCCGCCUUCAAAACAACCCCAAACAGGGCUUGGAAUAAGAUCGACCAUAGGCCAGGCUCGGUGGCUCACACCUGUAAUCCUAGCACUUUGGAAGUCCGAGGCAGGCAAAUCACAAGGUCAGGAGUUCGAGACCAGCUUGGCCAACAUGGUGAAACCCUGUCUCUAAAAAAAAAAAAAAAAAAAAAAAAUCGACCAAAGACCCCCCCUGAUAUUUCCCCAGCUUCUUGGCCAAGCAGGGGAUGAGGUCAGGGUCUGUCUCUGUGGGACGAAGAUUAAGGACUGGGGUCUGUGCAUGCCUGUGCGUAUGGCCCUUGCCACCCCCAUUCAACCAAGAACAUCAAUUUGCAUCUGAAACUGUUCUAUAGGUAUGCCAGAGCAGCCUCCUAGGCGGCAUCUCUUCACCCCCAGCGCAAAUGGUGAGAUUUGGGUGACUCCAUCCCCCAAACACAGAACCUGGC
rnacentral:lncRNA from 10 species